UGAUGGCCUAGAGGUUAAGUAAUGGGCUUGAGACCAGAGGAUCCUUGGUUCAAAUGCCUGUCAACCUGGAAAAUCACUAAGGGCUCUUGGGCAAGGUCCUUGAUCCCCAAGUUGCACCCAGUGUGUAAUGAGCGCCUUAAAUGGCAGCACUCAGACAUCAGUGUGAAUGGGUGAAUGUGAGGCAUCAUUGU